GCUGGGCGCCGUGGCACAUGCCUGUAAUCCCAGCAGCUUGGGAGGCGGAGGCAGGAGGAUCGCAAGUUCAAAGCCAGCCUCAGCAAAUUAACAAGGCCCUAAGCAACUCAGUGAGACCCUGUCUCUA
rnacentral:sRNA from 1 species